ACAGACACUCACUCACACACACACACACACACACACACUCACACACAAAUACACACGCACGCACACACACACACAUGUGCGCACACACACACACGCAGCUAAUGCGACAGCAAACAGUGGUGUGGAGCCGCGGGCCGGUGAUUAAUGCUGUCGAUUAGCGAGUACAAACUUAUCUGCAGAGUAAACGCUGCCGCUGGGUGUGUGUGUGUGUGUGUGUGUGUGUGUGUGUGUGUGUGUGUGUGUGUGUGUGUGUGUUGUGCAACAGGAAAAAGCCAAUUUCCUUAAAUCAUGAUUUAUAAUCAGAUCUCUUUAUGACUCUGAUUGUCUUUACUUUAGAUUACAGAGCAGUUAAUGAGGUCAUGAUGCAAUCUGUCCCCGACGCAGAGAAAAUCCCCCUCGAGGAGAAGUUACUGACUGCUUCUCUCUCAACGAUCAGGUUUCCUUCAAAUCCUCCGAUUAACCACCACUGGAUAUCAUUAUAGUGGACUAACAGUGAUGAUUAUUGGUCCGGCUGCACUGAUGACUAAUGGUGCACACACACACACACACACACACACACACACACAC